UACAGAGGUGGCAAGCGUUGUUCGGAAUUACUGGGCGUAAAGGGCGAGUAGGUGGCCAUCUAAGUCAGACGUGAAAUCCCCCGGCUUAACCUGGGAACUGCGUCUGAUACUGGACGGCUAGAGUUUGGGAGAGGGAUGCAGAAUUCCAGGUGUAGCGGUGAAAUGCGUAGAUAUCUGGAGGAACACCGGUGGCGAAGGCGGUUCUCUGGGCAUGUCCUGACGCUGAGGAGCGAAAGUGUGGGGAGCGAACAGG
rnacentral:rRNA from 1 species